rnacentral:rRNA from 1 species
GCAUCCAACGCGUUGGGAGCUCUCCCAUAUGGUCGACCUGCAGGCGGCCGCGAAUUCACUAGUGAUUCGUAUUACCGCGGCUGCUGGCACGUAGUUAGCCGGUGCUUCUUAUCUAGGUACCGUCACAAAAAGCUUCGUCCCUAGCGAAAGGAGUUUACAACCCGAAGGCCGUCAUCCCCCACGCGGCGUCGCUGCAUCAGGCUUGCGCCCAUUGUGCAAUAUUCCCCACUGCUGCCUCCCGUAGGAGUCUGGGCCGUAUCUCAGUCCCAAUGUGGCCGUCCACCCUCUCAGGCCGGCUACCCGUCGCCGCCUUGGUAGGCCAUUACCCCACCAACAAGCUGAUAGGCCGCGAGCUCAUCCUACACCGAAAAAACUUUCCAACCAUCACACUAAAAAUGGCUCCUAUCCGGUAUUAGACCCAGUUUCCCAGGCUUAUCCCGAAGUGCAGGGCAGAUCACCCACGUGUUACUCACCCGUUCGCCACUCGAGUACCCUGCAAGCAGGGCCUUUCCGUUCGACUUGCAUGUGUUAAGCACGCCGCCAGCGUUCGUCCUGAGCCAUGAUCAAACUCUAAUCGAAUUCCCGCGGCCGCCAUGGCGGCCGGGAGCAUGCGACGUCG